AUCCUGUUAACCUCAGUCUUUUCCCAGUUUAAAAGUAGCAGCCCAGUGCUCCUCAUUCAUCUGACUGCACGGGGGUGGCUGGUGAAUAGAGACAAAACUCAAGGACCUGGAUUAUCUACAAAAUACAAGCAUACCCCUGACCUACCACCCCUAAACAAUUAGAGACACAGGCUUUAGGGAUAUGAAUUCAGAGACAGACUUGUGAAUUAACAUGGCCCGUUACCUGGGAGUGUUUGGUUGAGGUCUGUGGCAACAGCAACAUAAUAAGAGUGCCCUUGGGCUUCUGGUCCCAACUACGGAAGGGGGCAGAGCAAUGACAGAGUGUGACGGAACAACAGCUAUAUGCAGUCUAGGAUACAUUACAACAGGUGGAAGACAUUACAAAAAACCUACCCGAUUCUUUGAGCAUGCAAACAACCACUAUUCAUUUGUAUGAAACAUAUAGGAUCCCUGUGGACAUCGAUAGUGACCAAGGAAUCUACUUUAUUGGCCAUGAAGUUCAGGAAUGGGCCGAUACAAAGGACAUACAGGGGCAUUUCCACCUGCCUUACAACCCCACUGCUGCCGGGCUAUGAAGAGACUACUUAAACAACAGUUGAGGUGGGAAACUCACUCUUAACACGUGGACACAUCCCAGGAGCAGUUAUCCCAGUGCCGACGCCAUGUUAACCCAGAGGUAACUAGUCAACACUGUUCGAGUUCAACUGUUGACCACCGAAGGACUGUUGCCAACUACAGGUGAAGAAAUGAUUGCCAGAGAGACUAAGUGACUUAAGUCAUAUGAAGAAUUUGAGUGCCAUAGGUUGUUUUUUUUGUUUUUUAUUCCCUUUUACACACUGCUUCUCAAUACACAUUUCACAAACCAAAGGUGGAUGUAUGAACUUCUGUUCAUUCAGUCCAUGGAUGCUAGAGGAUAUUGAGGCAUCAUGAGCUGUGUGAGUGGAGACAAACAUGCAGAGAAUGUGAUUUUUAUGCCAAGAAUGUUAAAGGUUAAGUCAGUACAGACAGCUUUGGUGAUUUCUUGGCCAGUUCUCCCACAGCCCUCAUGAUAGUGACCAUCAUGUCCUUCAUCUUUGCUUGUGGACCCUCGGUGUCUGGAGUUCCUGGGAAGGUGAAGGUGUUGGCGUCGAUGCAGCCAUGUGGUUAGGGUUUAGUCAGGAACUGCUACAGGAGAGCUCAGUCCUGAGCCAGGAAUUGCAGGAAGGGACUAACAUGGAUCACUUCUGAGAAAGUAGAAGGGCUUUUCAGGAGAGGGCAUAUAAAAAAGGCAAGGAGAUUUUUAGGAGUGUAUGAACAGCAAAUAGCUUGCUAGAGCAGAGAGUAUAUAUUAAAUCGUGAAAAUAUGGGAUGGAUAUGGGGGACUGGGCUGGAAUCGAGUCCUUGGAAAUGAAAGAAAUGGCUGGGUCAAGGAAUGGAGAGAGAACUAGGUUUGGAUUUCAGUUGGAUUUCUAAUUAAUCAAACUCGCUCUUAAAUUUAGAGCCGGGGAGGACUUCCACUGGAACUCUGCUGGGGUUCCUUCUCGCAGUUUGAGGAACCACCCUAGAAGGGUAUGGAGAGACCCUCUCCUCCACUCAUACUCACUCAAUAGAAGCCAGUCUUUGGACAGGUUGUUAUAUAUCAGUUGCUCCAUGUCAGGUUACCACGUGUGUGUCCCCAACUGAAAAUGCACCCCACCCCAGUCCCCCACAAAGUUGAACUGACACAUCAGUGGAAACACAUAGCAUAGUGCCAACUGUCACCCUCGCCAUCUCCAACCAGGGAAUGGCAGAGCCUGUGCGUGAUUCUCUUUGACUGCUGUCAGUGGAGGCCACACUGACUCAGAAAUCUCACUCGUUUAAAUCUGUAAGUUGCUGAGUCAUUUCGUCAGAAAGCACCUCAAUUCUGCAAUAAUCUUUUUUAAAAGCAACCAGUUUUAAUGAUGUGAGCCGAAAUCCUUUGGCAUUUUAAAGUGCUCUACUGAGGGCUAUCUGCUAAGACUAGCGGUUUGCUUCUGUUAUGGAGAGGCGGAAAAGAUGAUUUCAUUGUCUUUAAAUCAUGUGCGGGCUCAGGGAAUGAGCUGUAGCAGGCUUGGGAAUGUGUGGGAAGAAGUCAGAAGGCCAUGCAUACAACAUCUGCAAAGAAAAUGUUUUAUUUAAAGUGUUAAAUACCAUCACGAGAAUGAAUUUGAGUUUUACAUUAGUUGGUGUUCAUUACAGGACUAAUCUGCCCUUUUUUUUUUCCAGCUGGAAUUCCCUUUACUUUUAAAACAUACUAUGUACAGGGCAGCAGUGGUCACUGGAAUAGUGCUAUUUACAUGACUAAACCACAAGUCGAGGUGCAGACAUGUGAAAAUUAAAAAAAAAAAUACACCAACGUUAAAAUAAAUACUGCAUAAUGACAGAGUCCAACUCAUCUUGGCAUUAGUGGGUACCAUGCCUGCUGGAGCUCUGAAGUCUGCCACUGUUCACGCUGUCACACGACUGGCUGCUCCGGUCCCCGUCCAGAGGAUCACUGACGUUUUCGUCCUGGACCAAAUCUUUGGUCUCUUGCUUUUCACCUGAUGCUUCCUAGGACUUCAUGCCUUGACUUGUAACAUGGCUUAAUGGCUGGAUAGCUCCAUUUCUGUGGCAUCACAGGACUUUGGGGUCAGAGAAAUGAAGAAAAAGGAAUGAUAAAAAUAUAAAGGUGCCAUUGAAAAGGGCUUUUGUUGCAUGAAACUGAUUCUUUGAGAUUAAUCCAUGGCUUCAGAUUGGACCAAAACGAUAUUGAAUAUAUUGAUAGUUCCCUAGUGUGUAUAGCUUUAUAGCACUGGCCACUACUUUGAAGUUUCCCAAGAAUUUCAGCUGUGAGGAAUGGAAAAGGAUGUGAUAAGAAAAGAUGUUGGAUACAAAGUUUGACUCCAUGAAGACACUUUCUUAGGACUCUAAGGAUUCUUAAGGAGAAUUUAGAAGCUCCAGAUAAACUGAAGAAUAACACAAAACACUAGCUAACAAGAACUUCUUAUUGUCUUGGAACCUGGUUUUACAACAAGGCCACGGGCCCGAAUGAUUUCCACCUCCAGCUGUCCCUUUUUGUCCAUCAUGCCUACCUGAAUGUCACCUAAUGGCGUGUGAGGAGGAAACAAACAGUGAGAGAAAUGUCUGUGCCAAAGACCUUGGUUUAACAUUGUUUCAUCAUUUCCUACAUCUUUUCCUAAAUUCAAAUAUAUUUAAAAAUUUAUCAAUGAUACUUUACUUUAAAAAGCAUACAAAUUAAAAUGGAAAAAUUUA